GAGAAUCUGAGCUCUGUGAUAUACAGGUUUAUAUGAUAGAGGGGAGAAGCUGAGCUUUUUGGUAUAUAGGUUUAUAUGAUAGAGGGAGAAAAGUUGAGCUCUGUGAUAUAUAGGUUUAUAUGAUAGACGGAGAAGCUGAGCUCUGUAAUAUAUAGGUUUAUAUGAUAGAGGGGGAGACGCUGGGCUCAAUGAUAUAAAGGUUUAUAUGAUAGAGGGGGAGAAUCUGAGCUCAGUGAUUUAUAGGUGUAUAUGAUAGAGGGGGAGAAGCUGAGCUCUGUGAUAUUGAGCUCAGUGAUAUAUUGGUUUAUAUGAUAGAGGGGGAGAAGCAGAGUUUUGUGAUAUAUAGAUUUAUAUGAUAGCUGGGAGAAGCUGAGCUCUGUGAUAUAUAGGUUCAUAUGAUAGAGGGGGAGAAGCUGAUCUUUGAGAUAUAUAGGUUUAUACGAU